rnacentral:rRNA from 1 species
AUACGGAGGGUGCGAGCGUUGUUCGGAAUUAUUGGGCGUAAAGAGCAUGUAGGCGGUCUGUUAAGUCUGGUGUGAAAGCCCGGGGCUCAACCCCGGAAGUGCAUUGGAUACUGGCAGACUUGAGUAUGGGAGAGGAAAGCGGAAUUCCGAGUGUAGGAGUGAAAUCCGUAGAUAUUCGGAGGAACACCAGUGGCGAAGGCGGCUUUCUGGACCAAUACUGACGCUGCGAUGCGAAAGCGUGGGGAGCAAACAGGAUUAGAAACCCUAGUAGUCC